rnacentral:lncRNA from 1 species
UAGUUGGUAUUAUAUUUAUGGUAAUGAUCGGACAGAAAUUAUACAAGGAUGUUUCCAGUUUGCUGCAAUUAUGGUAUCAUUUGUAUUCGCUGUAGGUGGAGGUUGGAUCACUGGUAUUGUAAUAUCAUUCUUGGACAGUCCGGAUGAAGAUGACCAUUUUGACGAUAAAGCAGAAUUUGAGGUUCCUGAUAAUUCACAUCCGCAUUACCAAGUUAGCCAUCAAAUGAGUGGUGUAGAACUGAUGGUUAAGCAAAACAAAAAUGCAUUAAACAGUGAGUGACGCAUUGGAUUGUUGCUUUGAUUUUGUAGAAAAUGUUGGAAUUAUUUGAUUGUAUAUAUUUUACCUUUUUUUUCUUUUUUUUUUUUUAAUCAUUGUAAGAAAUUAAACGAAGAAGUAAUGCUGUAACAAGA